UUCAUCUUGUGCUGUCCUUGGGUCUCUUCUCAACGUGCCUGCCAGAGGGACCACUUCCCUGUGUCAGCCUCCCAGGGCUCCUCUCUUAUCAGAGAGCCGAUGGAGGCCUCUUUAAGAGCUGCAACUACGCAUUCAGUAGUUGAAAAGGGGCAGACAGUAAACAGUCCUGGGUUCUCAUAGACUCUAAGACGCGGGUGUUCAAUGCUGACAGGACUUUCAUUAUACACCUCUCUAUAAUUUUCUGCUUAGAAUGCAUUGGUUUUCCCAACUUGGCAUCCUUCUUUAAUGAAAAAAUUAUAGGCCUAAUUUCAAAAAAUGAAAUGUAUGCAAGCUUUCCUGCUUCUGCCACUUCUUUAUUCCUGUAGCACAUAAAUCAUUUCCCUUUUUAAAAUUAAAUUUCGCUUGCCAUGAUUUGGUAAUGGGUUUUCAAAGGAGGCAGAGUAGCCAAGCUCUUGGCACAAGAGCUGCCUGCACCGCUUGCUCAGGAAAUCUUCUCAUUGCUGUCUGGCAGGGGCCGCGAUUCCAUCAUCUGGGCUUCAUACUCCCCUUGGAAGUUGCCUAGGAACUCUCUCCCUAACGAUUCCUUCUCUGAAUGGCCUUUUGGGCCCUCCAGCUGCCAUCUUGGAAGCCUGACGAACAGAUAGAAUUUGGGCAGAAAAAGACUAGUGCAUUCUUGCACUCCUUGGGUGUUUACUCAUUCAUUUAUGAGCACUGACUAUGUAUAAGGCAGAAGUCCAGGCGUUGUGGGGACACUAGCCUCGAGAGACUUAAACACCAAAUUGUCUGAGAUAAGACAUGGAGCAGUGGUCCACUACAAAUACUAUUUGUAAUCCUCUUAGCAGCCCUGCAUUUUUACCCAUGAGCAACCUCAGAGAGGUUAAGCACCUUCUACAGGGUCAUAGGCCUGGCAUGGCACUGACAGAGCUUUGCUAAUCUUGCACACACACUCAGGCCUGCUGCCCCCGAUGGGCACACUUUGGCCCUACAGAGUGAGAAAAGCAUGCAGUUAAGAGUCAAAAGUUACUUUGAGGCUUGGAAAAAAAAAAAAGAUAUCUGCCAAAGCUUUGUAAAUGGGAAAGCUUUGCCAGGUAAUAGGCCCUGGGAUUUGAUCUGUAAGGGCUAAUUGGAGGGAAGAGAGGCGUGAACGAGGGCCCGAUGUCAAGGGAAGCUUCUCAGAGGAGGUGCAUCUCCAACUGGACCUUGAAAGAUUCAAGUAGGAGGAAGUUAUUUCAGGUGAGGAUGUGGAAAUGACUUAGACUUUGAAACCCAAAGAAAGAGACUGUUUCCUGUGCCGUUUUUAGCUUUCAGCAUAGACAAAAAGCAGCCUCCACAAGCAAAACUCUUUUCUUCCUAGAUGUUACGUUCCCCUGAGAUGGCAUGCGCUCCCCAGUUCUUCUCUCACAGACCCUGUUGUGGUUGGGACCCGAGGGAGGCCUCUUGGAAGGAAAAUCAACUUGUCUUUUAUUAAGUCGGAUCUUUCCCUGGGGUCUAUAAGAAAGAAAAGGAGGGAUGGACCAACUUCACAGUAGGAGAUGAAGGCGUGAGAUGCUUGCUUGAUUUCCUGACUUCUUUAAAGGGUCUCGCUAAGUUGCUAGAUUGCUCAUCCUGGGCUUCAACUGGUGAUCCUUUUCCCUAGCUUCCCAUAGUCCUGGGAUUGCAAGGAUGUGCUACCAUACCCAGCAUCACUGCAAGGAAGUUCACAUGAACCAUCACUUUGCAAGGACGGCAACACCAGCUAAGAAAUGGGCUCAGAGUCACAUCAUGAGUAAGUGGUCAAGCUGGAUUCCAGUUCAGGUUUAUCUGGCUGCAAAGCUGGCAUGCUUGUCCUCUCUGAUGUUGCAUCCCUGCAUAUCAGCAAAAAUCUCAUCAGUAUCUCAAUUCCUCUCCCUGCAUACCAUCGACAGUCUCAUCAAUGUUAAUCUCUUUCCAUCCAGGCUUUUCCUAAAACAUUCAUAUUUACUUAAGAACAUUUUCAUAUCUUAAAUGUUUGAUUAUUAUAAAGUAAACAUUUCUCUAUGUUAGUAUAAACAUUUUAUGAACACCAUUUUAAUAGUUGCAUAAUAUUGCAUAAAAUAAAUUUAUCAAAGUUUACAUAGUCUCGUCUGGAGAUGUUUAGAUCAUUUCCUCCCUGGUUUGGUUUUGGUGUUGUGUAUAAUAUGUAAUUAACACCAUGGUGGACAUCUUUAUAUGUAAAAGUAUCAGCAUUUUGAUGAUUUUGCUGUGAAAGACUCUUGGCAUCUCUUACUGCUAGAAUUAUUUUCCUUUUAAGCAAAAGCAAAGAUAUCAGAUAAUCAGAGCCUUCUGUCAAUUGAGUGUCUCCCGAACCUCCUUAUAGUGCUGGUGGAGGGAACCAGGAACCAGUGUGUAGAAUAAAGAUCCAGAGCUUCUGCAUACCUGUGGAGCACAGCGCAUACUGUGCUUAGGCAAGAAAGUGAACUCGGACAAAGAUUCGUGUCUGCGUUAUCUUCUGAAGAUCUCACUGAAAAUUUGAUUCUUCAUUUCUCUUUUAGACCUCUUCAAGUUGAAUAAACAAUAUCCCACUACCAAAGUUUUUUAA